rnacentral:rRNA from 1 species
UGGGGAAUAUUGGACAAUGGGCGAAAGCCUGAUCCAGCAAUACCGCGUGUGCGAUGAAGGUCUUCGGAUUGUAAAGCACUUUUAAUUGGAAAGAUGGUUGGCGUGCUAAUACCACGACCAAUUGACGUUACCGAUAGAAAAAGCACCGGCUAACUCUGUGCCAGCAGCCGCGGUAAGACAGAGGGUGCGAGCGUUAAUCGAAAUUACUGGGCGUAAAGAGUACGUAGGCGGAAAAGUAAGUCGUGUGUGAAAAAUCGGGGCUCAACCUCGGGACUGCAUACGAUACUGUUUUUCUAGAGUUUGGCAGAGGUAAGUGGAAUUUCCGGUGUAGCGGUGAAAUGCUUAGAUAUCGGAAGGAACACCAGUGGCGAAGGCGGCUUACUGGGCCAAUACUGACGCUGAGGUACGAAAGCGUGGGGAGCAAACAGG